GAAGACACUAGGAACCCAACAAAUAAAUAAAUAAAUAAAAUAAGUGAUGUUUAAGUAAAAUUAUGAAACAUAGUAGAUAUUCUUGUCCAUCAGAAGAUGGUAACUAGCUGGGUGCCAUAGUAUAUGCCUGUAAUCCUGGGAACUCAGGAUCACAAGUUCAAGGCUAGCCUGGGCAUCUUAGCAAGAGAGUGCUCAAAAUAAAAUAAAUGAAUAAAUAAAAAGGGCAGAAUGGAGCUCAGUAGUAGAGCAGUCCCUGGGUUCAACCCCCAGUACUGGAAUAAAAGCUAACUGCCACAUGGGUAAACUGUAGAUCCAAGGAAGAGUGUCUGAGGGUUCUUGGGUGAAGGCCUGCUUUGCAAUUUUGAAAAGGUAGUUAAGGGCUGGUGAUGUCACUCAAGGGUAGAGCACUUGCCUAGCAUGAGGAGGGCUCUGGGUUUGAUCCCCAGUAUGGGAAAAAAAAAAAAAGGUAAAAUAGUCUGUUAAAUGGGACAUUUAAAUAGAAACUUGAAGUCACAAGGGCAGAGCCAUCUGCAUUGUGUCUCGUGUUCACAAAUGCACAAGGAGGUUGGUGAGGCUGGAGCGCAGUGUGUGAGGUCAGCACAGGUGUGGGGAAGGGGGGAAA
rnacentral:lncRNA from 1 species